rnacentral:lncRNA from 1 species
GAGCAGGACAUGCUGUGUACGAGUGAGUCAUGCUGACGACGAGCAGGACAUCCUGUGUACGAGUGAGUCGUGCUGCAUAUAAGCAGGUCACGCUGUCGACAAGCAGGUCGUGCUUUACGAUGUACGAUGGUGUACGAUGCAUGAUUGUGGGAUGAAGGAGAACGGAAUCACCUUCGAGAUCUCGAUUUGAGCCGAAGCAUCAUGAUGGCAACCCUUGAUGAUGAAGAAGAAGAAGAAGAUAUAGAUACUGAUGACGAGGUUCUUCAAAUCGUACCGCCAGAGGAGUUUGGGAAUGACAAGUUUGAAGCCUCAUUGAGAGACGCUGAUGGCAUCAAGAUUCCCACCGAUGAGGAUACACAAAUUCCUGUCGGUAUUGAAGAACCAUUGGAUGUUGAUGGAGACUUCGAUGUGGAACCGAUGGAUGUUGAUGGAGAUUUCGAUGUGGAACCGAUGGAUGUUGACGGGGACUUCGAUGUGGAACCAAUGGAUGUUGAUGGAGACUUUCAUGUGGAUUCGAUGGAUGUUGUGAGAGGCUUUGUUCAUCGGAAGAGAGUUAAGCUGGUUGCUCGGCUGGCUCUUCUUGGUUCGUGGAGCUCUUUGUUCUCCGCUUGGUUCCCGGCUUGGUGCGACUCAUCGGCCUCAUCUUGGAGGUGGUUCCUCGGGGAAGCGACGCAUCGACGGGAAGGAUCGGCACCUCGUCUCACCAGCACGUGUUCGGAAGCGCGAGAGGAUUCGCUGGAGCUCAGGAAGGAUCGCAGCUCACAGCGAAUGGAUCCAGCUCGCUCUCGCUGGAGCCUGGGUCCGAACAGCUUGAAGACCAUACGAGGUGGAGAGAUUCGAGAUAGGUUCUGGGUUUCAGCUCAUCUGUCCUCUGAAUUGAAGUCCUUAUUAAGGGCAUCAGCCACCAUUUAUUGGGUGGACUACAUGAAAAAAUGUUGCUUAUCCUACAGGAUAAGUCCAAGUUUCGACAGCUGGGAAGCGUGGAUUCACAUGACUGCACAUCACGCUUGGAGAAUGAAAUCGGCUCUCUUCAUCCGAAAAUGUACGGUCGACUGA